AGAGUUUGAUCAUGGCUCAGGACGAACGCUGGCGGUGCGCCUAAUGCAUGCAAGUCGAACGGCGCCUGUCUGACCUGUCGGGCAGGUGUAGUGGCAGACGGCUGAGUAACACGUAAGUGACCAACCCCGAAGCGGGGGAUAAUCCGGAGAAAUCCGGCCUAAUACCCCGUAAGCUCGCUCCGAUACGUCGGAGUGAGGAAAGGUCCCACUUCGGUGGAGCCGCUUUGGGACGGGCUUGCGGCCUAUCAGGUAGUUGGUGGGGUAAUGGCCUACCAAGCCAAAGACGGGUACCCGGUGUGAGAGCACGAACGGGCAGAGGGGGACUGAGACACGGCCCCCACUCCUACGGGAGGCAGCAGCAGGGAAUCUUGCGCAAUGGGCGAAAGCCUGACGCAGCGACACCGCGUGGGGGAAGAAGGCUUUCGGGUUGUAAACCCCUUUUCUCGGGGAAGAGUAAGGACGUACCCGA
rnacentral:rRNA from 1 species